CUUAGCUGCGGGUCCUUGCUCCUUCGGGGGUAGGGAUGUGCGUUGCGCUUGUCAAGUGCUGUGCGCUCUGGGGGUUGCCGGGCUGGCUUGCCAGUGCACUUUCUCGGAGUGGUCACCACGACCGGCGUUGUUGUCUUGCUGCUGUAGUCGAACCGGUCAGGUUUGGUCCUUGUGGCUGAGCUUGAUCGGGAUGGCAGGUAGCUCAUUGGCUGACUUGUUCAGUCUUUGGGUGUAAUCAGCCGGCUGCAGUGGUUCUGUGCAAUGCGUCGGAGACGGCGGCUUUAGGUAUGUGCUUGUGUGCCGUGGGCUGGCAGUAUCGGGUUUGACUGGCGUGUUUACCUGUUUCGGCAGGUCCGUUGGUAGCUCGGUGCUGUUCGGUCUGCGGUUGCACUUGUGAUACCGCUCAUGGGCCUAUAGUCUGUGGUGUAGCAGCAAACGAUCCACCUGACCCGUCUUGAAACACGGACC
rnacentral:rRNA from 1 species